rnacentral:rRNA from 1 species
AUUGAACGCUGGCGGCAGGCCUAACACAUGCAAGUCGAGCGGAUGAAGGGAGCUUGCUCCUUUCUUCAGCGGCGGACGGGUGUGUAAUGCCUAGGACUCUGCCUGGUAGUGGGGGAUAACGUCCGGAAACGUGCUCUAAUACCGCAUACUUCCUGGGGGAGAAAGUGGUGGAUCUUCGGACCUCCCGCUAUCUGAUUAGCCUAUUUCGGAUUAGCUAGUUGGUGGGUAAAGUCCUACCAAGGCGACGAUCCGUAACUGUUCAGAGAGGAGGAUCAGUCACACUGGAAGUGAGACACGGGCCAGACUCCGACGGGAGGCAGCAGUGGGGAAUAUUGGAAGAUGGGCGAAAGCAUGAUCCAGCAAUGCCGCGUGUGUGAAGAAGGUAUUCGGAUUGGAAAGCACUUUAAGUUGGGAGGAAGGGCAGUAAGUUAAUACCUUGCUGUUUUGACGUUACCAACAGAAUAAGCACCGGCUAACUUCGUG